GUUUCUCGGGUUUGGUUUUCCUGUAUCAGCCCGUUACCGCCCCCGGCCCGGCACUGUCUCCACUUUCAUUUGGGGGGGUUCUGUUUUGAUAAGGCAAGGAGAAGGGAAGGAGCUCGAGCGGCGGAGGAGAGGAAGCGAUUUCUUAUGUUCAUGGCGAUUCCGGGCUAUUCCACCGCCCGAUUUCGAUUUCUCCUCCCUUUUCUCUUCGAUCCCCGCUGCCGCGGUUGGUUGUCCUUGUCUGUCGCGUUUCCCUGUGUUGUGGCUGUGUAGUUCCGGAUCUAGGUAAGUUUUGGAUCCGUGGUUCAUCUAUUAUUGGUGUUGUCCGUGGAUCCGUGGUAGGUGCAUGUUGCUGCCGUGUUUGUUUCUAGUCCGCCAUGCCUAGCGCUCCAUUUCCCAUCCUUCUGCCCGCCUGAGUUGUGUAGGAGCUUGUUGUAUGUGGGGAGUUCUAAUCCAUCUGCUUGUUGUGGUCCUUUUCUCCCCUGCUUGUAGAUGUAGAGGUAGGCGUAGGUUGUUUAUUCUAAUGUAGAUGUAGAGGUAGGCGAAGUGUUAUAGUUGCAGCGGUGGAUUCGCCCUAUCAAUUUUAUUUCUGCUGGCCUGGGUGUCUGUUCCUUUGUCGUUAGAUGUAGUUGCAGAUGGUCUAGCAUGGGUUUCUGCCUGCUUCUGCAGUUUACUUGUAGUUGCUGUUAGCUGCUGAUGUUUGCUGUUGUAGUCCCUGGAAUUCAGUAUGAUUUUUUUUGUUAGAUGUAGGUGUUCAUUUCACCCGGUACCUGAAUCUCUCUGAAUUUGUGUGUACUAGGCUGCAGUGUUGUUGUAGUGUUAGUCCAGGAAUCUCUCUGAAUUUCAUGCUUCUUUACGGUGUAUUUUUACUCCAAACUUGAAGUGUAACUUACCCCUAGAAUUACAGUGUAUCCCCAUCCAGAAUUACUGUGUAAUUUAACUCAUAAUUACAGUGUAACUUGCCCCAUAAUUGCAGUGCAUUUACAGUGUAUCCUGAUGCUUCUUUAUUUGUUGUUACUCUGUAAUUUGUCCUAGUAGUACUGUGUAUUUCCCCCCUAAUUACAGUGUAAUCCUGAUGCUUCUUUCUUCAGUGUAAAUUUUGCUAUAAUUACUGUGUAACAUGUCGUAGAAUUACACUGUAGGUUACCCUGCAAUUACAGUGCAAUAUACCGUGAUUACCGUGUGUUUUUUGUGCUUCUUUAUUUGUAAUUACUGUGUAAUUUGUUCUAGAAUUACUGUGUAAUAUUUCCCCCCAUUACAGUGUAAUUCUCAUGUGUCGUAGAAUCACACUGUAGGUUAGCCUGCAAUUACAGUGUAAUAUACCGUAAUUACAUUGUUUUUUUCGUGCUUCUUUAUUUUGUAAUUACUGUGUAAUUUUCCCUAGAGUUAUUGUGUAAUAUUUUCCCCCGUUACAGUGUAAUUCUCAUGCUUCUUUCAGUGUAAAUUGCAGUGUAUAUUUUUCAGUGUAAUACUGCGCCAGUUUCUUUGUUAUUUACAUUGUAAUUUUUCUCAGAUGUUUUGCAUGCAUUCAUGUGGUUUUGCACUGUAAUAUCCCCCAUUCUUACUAUAUAAUUUAUCUUCAGUUUUUGGCAGUGUACUUCCUCUACCUUUUCAUUGUAAGUUGCCCUAAUUAUUGUGUAUUUUGUGACUCAGAGUUUCACUGUAUUUAGGUUGGUUUUUACACUGUAUUUUAAGUGAUUCUUGCACUGUAUUAAUAUGCCCCAUUAUUCUAUAAUUCCCCUGAUUGCUGCCUUUCAGUGUAUUUGUUGUGAGAUUUCCCUUGUAAUUGAGCCCCAUUACUCUAUAAUUUUCAACUUUCUUUAAUUUCUUUUUUUUCGUGUGUCAUGUAUUCUGUUUUGUUAGGUUCAGGUCAAUGGGGGGACUACGGAAAGUCUCUCACAAGGAUGUUUCGGUAGUUUCUUCUAUCGUGAGUGCUGAUUCUUGGAAUGAUCCUUUUGUGCCUAAUGACUUUGCGGAAGAUGGUUCUAAUGCUAUGUCUUUGGCUAGUUCAUGUAGGAGGUGUAUGUAGAGCAGCGGGGUGAGGAAAAACAUGGAAGAGUUCAAUAGAAGUGUGAUCAAAAGGAGUAGGACAUUACGUGAGCUGUGGACCGUCUCUUGGAUGAUCUUCCUCUGUCCUCCACCAAUUAUUCGGAUCUGUUCUUCCCCCUUGCUUCUCUCCAGGUGAUUUGUUGUCCAGGAAAGGAAAAAAGAGCGUGGGCAACGGUCCAGGUGGGUUUCGUGAUAGUUGCCUUGUUUUGUUUUGGUUAUUAGUUAGAACCGCGGGUCAGAUUUUAGCCGCCCGACCCAUUUUUUUGGAAAUACAAGCAUACAAUUGUCCAUGGUAUUUGGACAUAGGUGUCAGCGCUUGAUUUGUCAGGAAAUUUGACUAUAAUAUAGUGCUUUUUACCUUUGUAUUGGAUGACUUUCUUCGUUAUUUAACUUGUUUACCCCUAACCCGGGUCUGAUGUUCAACCCUGACCCGUUUAGGCGUUCUUUUUUGCUUUAUGUUGAUUUUCCUGCUCAUACAGGUGUAAUGUGUUGAUUGGUCAGGAAAUUUGACUGUUUUUGAAUUGAAAAACAGUCAAAUGUCAAAUAGACAGUCCCAAAAAAAACACGCUUACGCCGCACCGGAAACUGACAGCCAGAGGCCGAGGGCAGACAGGACACCGCCACCGAACACAAGAGAAUAGAUUGAUCGAUACGUUCUUUCGCAUAGGUCAGAAGCAGAGAACACCUAUUCCCUCGAACACACAUACGUAACAGAGAUAGGAAAACCUAGGUUAGUUAGGACGCGAGCCCUGAUCCAUCGCCUUCCUAUCUCUUCGCCAUGGCUAACCACGGCGAGUGCCUAGCCAAGACGUCGUCGAGAUGCAUCACGGAGACCUUCACCGGGACGCACGACUUCGAGGUCACCAGCUACUCGCUGCUCGAAGGCAUGGGCGUCGGGAAGUUCGUCGGCUCGAGCACGUUCAGCGUCGGGGGCUACGACUGGCAGAUCCGAUUCUACCCCGACGGAGACAGGGAGGCGAACGAAGGCGCCUACGCAUCCGUCUUCUUGUUCUCCACUGAGAGGUCGGUCAAAGUGAAGUUCACUCUGAAUCUAUUUGCCAGAGAAGGCAGCAUAUCUGUACUCAACGCCGCUAAGCCGUAUACAUUCGAGUCGGCGGGUCUUGCCUAUGGGUAUACCAAGUUUGUGGAGAAGUCCAGGCUGCUACAACUCAACGACUUCACAAUAAGAUGUAAUCUCACGGUCAUCAAGGAGCCUCGCACCCUAGAUGUCAGCAUGGUCGUCGUCCCGCCGUCGAACCUGCACGACCACUUCGCCAGCAUGUUCAAGAGCGGGAGAGGCGCCGACGUCAAGUUCAGCGUAGGCGGCCACGUGUUCGACGCGCACGCGUGCGUGCUGGCCGCGCGAUCGCCGGUCUUCAUGGCCGAGCUCUUUGGUCACAUGAAGGAGGGCACCGCGCCAUGCAUCGAGAUCGACGACAUGGAGCCUUUGAUCUUCGAGGCGCUUCUCAGCUUCAUCUAUACAGACACCAUGCCGGAUAAUUUGUAUGUCGGGGCCAACAUGCCAGGCCUGCUGGAUGCCGGGAUCGCUACGGGAUGGACAGGCUGAAGGCCAUGUGUGAACAGAAGCUCUACUCGAGCAUUAGCGUGCAAACGGUUGCGGCGACACUAGCUUUAGCAGAGCAGCACCAUUGCGUCGCACUAAAAGAUGCAUGUCUUAGGUUCCUCUCUUCACGGGACGUGCGCCGGGCUGUCAAAGCAACUCGUGGAUUCAAGAACCUCGAAACAAGCUGUCCCUCGGUUGUCAUGGAGUUUUUUGACAUGGCUGCCCCGCUGCCAUGAGUAGCUUGUAGCUUUCAUUGGAGUAUAGCCGCAGUAUAUAUCGUAUUUGGUUGAUCAUAACAUACCAUGUAACUGGCAUCAUCGAUGAACCUCGAGAAUGUGUUCCUUCUGAUAUGCGCUACA